rnacentral:rRNA from 1 species
UACGGAGGGUGCAAGCGUUGUCCGGAAUCACUGGGCGUAAAGGGCGCGUAGGCGGCUCAUGAAGGCUGUGGUGAAAGUCCGGGGCUCAACCUCGGAUCGGCCGUGGCGACUCAUGGGCUGGAGCACUGUAGAGGCGGGUGGAAUUCCGGGUGUAGCGGUGGAAUGCGUAGAGAUCCGGAAGAACACCAGUGGCGAAGACGGCCCGCUGGGCAGUGGCUGACGCUGAGGCGCGACAGCGUGGGGAGCGAACAGG